UGUUAAAUAUUUCAUCCAAUUCUACAGUUAGAAACUGGCAUAACUGACGAAAUAACUAUACAGUUUUAUGCUGAUAUACAUGGACCAGUUUUUAACAGUAAAAAUGGGUGGAAUUGUUAACA
rfam:Gossypium raimondii Chr12_contig_12, whole genome shotgun sequence.